UACGUAGGGGGCGAGCGUUGUCCGGAAUCAUUGGGCGUAAAGCGCGUGUAGGCGGCCCGGUAAGUCCGCUGUGAAAGUCCAGGGCUCAACCCUGGGAUGCCGGUGGAUACUGUCGGGCUCGAGUCCGGAAGAGGCGAGUGGAAUUCCUGGUGUAGCGGUGAAAUGCGCAGAUAUCGGGAGGAACACCAGUGGCGAAGGCGACUACCUGGCCUGUUCUUGACGCUGAGGCGCGAAAGCUAGGGGAGCAAACGGG
rnacentral:rRNA from 1 species